rnacentral:rRNA from 1 species
GACGAACGCUGGCGGCGUGCUUAACACAUGCAAGUCGAACGCUGAAGCUCAGCUUUUGUUGGGGGGAUGAAUGGCGAACGGGUGAGUAACACGUGAGUAACCUGCCCCCUUCUUUGGGAUAACGCCCGGAAACGGGUGCUAAUACUGGGUAUUCACUGGUCUUCGCAUGGGGGUUGGUGGAAAGGGUUUUUCUGGUUGGGGAUGGGCUCGCGGGCUAUCAGCUUGUUGGUGGGGUGAUGGCCUACCAAGGCUAUGACGGGUAGCCGGGCUGAGAGGGUGAGCGGUAACGUUGGGAAUCAGACACGGCCGAGACUCGUACGGGAGGCAGCAGUGGGGAGGAUUGCAAAAUGGGCGCAAGCCUGAUGCAGCGACGCCGCGGGAGGGAUGGAGGCCUUCGGGUUGUGAACCUCUUUCGCUCAUGAUCAAGUCGAAACAAUGGUUGUGGUGACGGUAGUGGGUAAAGAAGCGCCGGCUAACUACGUG